CUUCCUAACAACCCUCAGAGGAUGCUGAUUCUACUAGUCUGUGACCUCACACUUUGAGUAGAAAGAGACCCAGGAACACGUGCGAUCUUGAGACUGAAGAUGCCAUCUGGCAGGGUUAGUGCUGCCUGCUGCCAUCCUAAUCUGAGCGUGAACAAGAGAACUCUAUGGACAGAGGCCGAGUGAGCCAACUGCGCAGGGAGUGAACUCACUCUGAAUGGGGCUGUUCUAACACCCGCCAAGUCAAGUCAUUAAGAUGCCAUCCCCGAGGUGCAGCCCCCAGCGUCACCUCUGGAUAUCC
rnacentral:lncRNA from 1 species